rnacentral:rRNA from 1 species
UACGAAGGGGGCUAGCGUUGCUCGGAAUUACUGGGCGUAAAGGGCGCGUAGGCGGAUAGUUUAGUCAGAGGUGAAAGCCCAGGGCUCAACCCUGGAACUGCCUUUGAUACUGGCUAUCUUGAGUUCGGGAGAGGUGAGUGGAAUGCCGAGUGUAGAGGUGAAAUUCGUAGAUAUUCGGCGGAACACCAGUGGCGAAGGCGACUCACUGGCCCGAUACUGACGCUGAGGCGCGAAAGCGUGGGGAGCAAACAGG